CCUACGGGGGGCAGCAGUAGGGAAUCUUCCGCAAUGGACGAAAGUCUGACGGAGCAACGCCGCGUGAGCGAAGAAGGUCUUCGGAUCGUAAAGCUCUGUUGUUAGGGAAGAACAAGUACGGGAGGAAAUGACCGUACCUUGACGGUACCUAACGAGGAAUCCACGGCUAACUACGUGCGAGCAGCCGCGGCAAUACAUAGGUGGCAAGAGGUGUCCGGAAAUAUUGGGCGUAAAGCGCGCGCAGGUGGUCGUGUAAUUCUUAUGUUACAUCCUGCUGAUCAACCGAAAGCUGUAAAUGGAAGGAAGGAUACUUGAGUGCAGUACAAGCAAGCGGGAAAACACUAGAGGCGGUGAAAUGGGUAGAGUGGUGGGGGAAAGCGAAUUUGGAAGGCAGCUUACUGGACUGGAACUGCCGCUGAGGCGCGAACUCGUGGGAUGCGAACAGGAUAAGAUAUCCCUGUAGUC
rnacentral:rRNA from 1 species